rnacentral:rRNA from 1 species
UAAACGAUGUGGGAAGGCUUAGACAGCUAGGAGGUUGGCUUAGAAGCAGCCAUCCUUUAAAGAAAGCGUAAUAGCUCACUAGUCGAGUCGGCCUGCGCGGAAGAUGUAACGGGGCUCAAACCACACACCGAAGCUGCGGGUGUCACGUAAGUGACGCGGUAGAGGAGCGUUCUGUAAGCCUGUGAAGGUGAGUUGAGAAGCUUGCUGGAGGUAUCAGAAGUGCGAAUGCUGACAUGAGUAACGACAAUGGGUGUGAAAAACACCCACGCCGAAAGACCAAGGGUUCCUGCGCAACGUUAAUCGACGCAGGGUUAGUCGGUUCCUAAGGCGAGGCUGAAAAGCGUAGUCGAUGGGAAACAGGUUAAUAUUCCUGUACUUCUGGUUACUGCGAUGGAGGGACGGAGAAGGCUAGGCCAGCUUGGCGUUGGUUGUCCAAGUUUAAGGUGGUAGGCUGAAAUCUUAGGUAAAUCCGGGGUUUCAAGGCCGAGAGCUGAUGACGAGUCGUCUUUUAGAUGACGAAGUGGUUGAUGCCAUGCUUCCAAGAAAAGCUUCUAAGCUUCAGGUAACCAGGAACCGUACCCCAAACCGACACAGGUGGUCGGGUAGAGAAUACCAAGGCGCUUGAGAGAACUCGGGUGAAGGAACUAGGCAAAAUGGCACCGUAACUUCGGGAGAAGGUGCGCCGGCUAGGGUGAAGGAUUUACUCCGUAAGCUCUGGCUGGUCGAAGAUACCAGGCCGCUGCGACUGUUUAUUAAAAACACAGCACUCUGCAAACACGAAAGUGGACGUAUAGGGUGUGACGCCUGCCCGGUGCCGGAAGGUUAAUUGAUGGGGUUAGCGCAAGCGAAGCUCUCGAUCGAAGCCCCGGUAAACGGCGGCCGUAACUAUAACGGUCCUAAGGUAGCGAAAUUCCUUGUCGGGUAAGUUCCGACCUGCACGAAUGGCGUAACGAUGGCGGCGCUGUCUCCACCCGAGACUCAGUGAAAUUGAAAUCGCUGUGAAGAUGCAGUGUAUCCGCGGCUAGACGGAAAGACCCCGUGAACCUUUACUGUAGCUUUGCACUGGACUUUGAGCCUGCUUGUGUAGGAUAGGUGGGAGGCUUUGAAGCGUGGACGCCAGUUCGCGUGGAGCCAUCCUUGAAAUACCACCCUGGCAUGCUUGAGGUUCUAACUCUGGUCCGUAAUCCGGAUCGAGGACAGUGUAUGGUGGGCAGUUUGACUGGGGCGGUCUCCUCCUAAAGAGUAACGGAGGAGUACGAAGGUGCGCUCAGACCGGUCGGAAAUCGGUCGCAGAGUAUAAAGGCAAAAGCGCGCUUGACUGCGAGACAGACACGUCGAGCAGGUACGAAAGUAGGUCUUAGUGAUCCGGUGGUUCUGUAUGGAAGGGCCAUCGCUCAACGGAUAAAAGGUACUCCGGGGAUAACAGGCUGAUACCGCCCAAGAGUUCAUAUCGACGGCGGUGUUUGGCACCUCGAUGUCGGCUCAUCACAUCCUGGGGCGAA